rnacentral:tRNA from 5 species
GCGGGAGUAGUUCAAUGGUAGAACGUUCCCUUGCCAAGGGAAAGGUUGGCGGUCCGAUCCCGCUCUCCCGCU